GGCCUAGGCCCCGUGGCCCCUGAUUGGAGCCACGGCGGUGCAAGUGGGGCCUCCACUUUCGCCGAAGCCCAUGGAACCACUCGGUCUCUAGAGUGGCGUUAGCCAGGUGGUGAGCGGAGGAGGACAGGUCCUGCAGCAGGAUGCGACUCUCCUCGCGGGUGGCCUGGAGGAAGACCUGCGGGGCGGGCGUGGACAGCGACUCGGUGCUGAAGGUGAUGGCCGCCCGGGAGAUGCUGGGCUCACCCUCCAGGAGACUUCGCACCAGAGCCUGGUACCACUGCAGGUCAUCCUGCACGGUCUGUUCCCGAGACUUAUUGCUCUGCAACAUCAUGUUGAGGAAGUUGGUGGCGUGUGUCAGAGUGUCCAGCGCCCCGUGCAAGGAAGGAUGGGAGCUGGCUAGGGACGGUGACUUUCCCGGCAGGCCAGCCAACUCGUAGCGGCCUGAGCAGUUGGCUCUCUUCAGCUGGUGGAAGUCCCCAGUGUAGAGGUAAGAGGCCACGUCCACGGGCACCUCCUCGGCUAGUUUUUGUGCCAAGAUGGUGCCGUCAGUGGAGCGGCUCCAGGGAAUAGAGGGGUCUGGGGCAGAGGCUCGCGGCAGCUGCUGACCAUGCUGCUUCCCCCUCGGAGUCCUCUCUCGAGGGGAAUCUGGCCGUCCCGGAGGGUCGAGGCUGGCACCAACCUCUCCCAAUCCCAGAUGAGCGAGCAGGAGGCAGAAGAGUAAAGAGUAAGCCAUGGCUCCCAUCUGUCUAGCAUAGAAGAGAGGCGAUAACCGGAGGAGUCACUUUGUAAAUUUUGGUCCUCAAUUUAUCAUCAGUAAGACUUUUGAGGGGAGGCUUCCUUCUUCUCCAGGUGGCGCCCAGUCCAGAUGGACUUUAAAAUAAGAAUGUUUUGAAAUUGGCCCAGCUGGCUCAGCUGCCGUCACAGACCAAAUCACCUGUGGCAAUGCUGGCUGCGCCCGGCUCCACAAUGGGUCGGCUCGGGAUUACGCACCUCGCAGCCUUGAGCCAAACAGGUUACAUCCCCAGCAGCUAUAGUUAGCCCGCUUACGUCUUUCUGCUCAGCCGCUUCCACCGCCGCUCUCAUUGAGGUGUGUUCAAGAGCUGAUGCUGAUGCUGCUGAUGCAGCUGAUGUUGCCACCGCGGCCACCAAAGAUGCUGCUCCAUCAUCUCACCCUUGGCAGGUCGUUCCCGCCUCCCAGUUCUGGCCCCUCCUCGACCGCUUCGCCCGGAGAUGGAAGCGCGCACACAGAUCCAAGCCGCGAGCUCAGCGGCGAGUCCCAAGGAACCAAGGUUUUCUUUGAAGACGUUCGUGUGUCUGCAGUCCAGACAGCCAGGCAGCUGAUUAACUAGAGCCUUUAGGUUUGGCCACAAACCACAGCGCUGCCUUUCUCUGCUCUCAGAUGAAAGCAGUUUAAAGAGACAGCUUGGCCGCAACCAAACCCUUGUAGGGCGGCUUCAAGUCGUCUUGUGCCCUGUUUGGUCGGCGCCUCUGUCAAUCAGCUGACUGCCAUUUGUUGGCUGGGGCGGGAGCUGUCCAGUGCUGAACCCGAGGCGCACUGAGGAGGCGGAGGAGGAGGCGGCGGCGCUGUUUUCACCCACUCGUGUUCCCUGAUGACUCGGAAACCUUCAGGGGUGGCAAGGAGUGGGUGGGAAAUAGGGGAGAAGUGGCGCUUUUGGUGGUUGAAAGCGAAGGAAACUUGGACUACUGAGGAGGAGGAGGCUGUUGGCAUCUUGCUUGCUUAGUAAAAUCAGCCCUUUCUUUUGCCUGGAAAAGAGGGAGAAGAGAGUAGUUUUCAUUUCUGACUGAAACUGGGGAGGAGGGAACGUAGGAUGGAAAUGUGUCCUUCUUAGCAUCUGCUCAUUUUUUAGGCAAAUUAUCAAAUUCUCUUCCUUGUUUUUGGUUAAGAGAAUGAUUAAACCUGGCUUGCCAAGGAUAGUCUUAGCUGUUAGAGAGUAAUGGAGACGUCUACUGGCCGAGCUUCAAGGAAAAAUAAAUGUCAUAUUU
rnacentral:lncRNA from 1 species